rnacentral:tRNA from 1 species
GGGGAUAUGGCUUAGUGGUAGAGUGCUUGCCUGGCAUGUGUGAGGCCCUGGGUUCAAUCCCCAGCCCCA